UGGAAAGGGGCGCCAGAG
rnacentral:snRNA from 1 species